rnacentral:rRNA from 2 species
UAUCACUAAGCGGAGGAAAAGAAACUAACCAGGAUUCCCCUAGUAACGGCGAGUGAAGAGGGAAAAGCCCAGCACCGAAGCCUGUGGCAGUUUUGCUACUAGGCAAUGUGGUGUUUGGGUCGACUGGCGGGAUUGCCACUCCACUCGAAGUCCAGCAUUGAGUAUGGUGACCUGGAUUUUGGCCCAGAGAGGGUGAAAGGCCCGUGCGGGUGGAGGUUCAGACAUGUGAGGCAAUUCACUAGGUCGGCCUUAGAGUCGGGUUGUUUGAGAAUGCAGCCCAAAGUGGGUGGUAAACUCCAUCCAAGGCUAAAUACUUACACGAGUCCGAUAGCAAACAAGUACCGUGAGGGAAAGUUGAAAAGUACUUUGAAGAGAGAGUAAACAGUACGUGAAGCCGCAUGCAGGUAAACGGGUGGCGUCAAGCUGCAAGCCGAGGGAAUUCAGUCGAUUAGCGUGUAUAUGCGCCUGGCGCAUGGAACAGUCGGAGUGAGUCCGGGUAGUCCACCGGUAGAUGGUGGGUUCCGCCGCAAGGUGGGAUGCGUGUACCGGGUGUGUGCCGGAGCGUGCUACUCGUCUGCUGGACUGAGCUAGUCGGUGCACUUUCUCUCAAUGGCUGGCACCACGACCGGUGGUACUGCCAGUCUGCUGUGGUCAAGUCGUAUUCGGUGGCAUUCGUGUUUACUGGGUGCGAUGACGGGCAAAUUCGGUAGACGGCGUCGGUAUUGGCCUCGGCCUGUGUCGGCGUGAUAUCGGCUAUCGGUUGUCUUAACGGGCUACCCGGUGGUGUUGAAGCCGCCGCAUUUGGGUAGUCUGGUCGACCAUGGUGGUAUGAAUAACUGUGCAGGGCACCGGAGUAUUCGGCCUCAAUUGUGGUUGGCAUGCAUGCUUCAAGUGUGCAUAUGUGAGUGGCGGCGUGGCCUGCCUGUGUUGAGCGUGAUCGUCGUGUUGCCUGCGCAAAGUGGGCCCGGCGGUGGCUUGAUGUGGGUCGGUGUUGCGUGCGUGGCUUGCAGUGCUGAUUAUGGUGGGCCUUAUAGUCUGUGGUGUAGUGGUAGACGAGCUACCCGACCCGUCUUGAAACACGGACCAAGGAGUUUAACGUGUGUGCAAGUCAAUGGGUCCUACGAAACCCAAAGGCGAAGUGAAAGUAAAGCCUCGGCUUGUUCGGGGUGAGGUGAGAUCCUGCUGUUACUCGCAUCCGCGCCUUGUGUGUUGUUGCUAGCACCAGGCACAAAGAGCAGUGGGCGCAUCACCGGCCCGUCCCAUGAUGUGGCCAUUGGAAUAGGGCUGUUGUUGGCUUUCGGGUUGGCGGCAGUUCCUCCAGUGCGUCAUCGGGGCGGAGCAUGAGCACACAUGUUGAGACCCGAAAGAUGGUGAACUAUGCUUGCGUAGGUUGAAGCCAGAGGAAACUCUGGUGGAGGACCGCAGCGAUUCUGACGUGCAAAUCGAUCGUCAAACGUGAGUAUAGGGGCGAAAGACUAAUCGAACCAUCUAGUAGCUGGUUCCCUCCGAAGUUUCCCUCAGGAUAGCA